GAACGCUGGCGGCGGGCUUAACACAUGCAAGUCGCGGGAGAAUCUCUGGCUUCGGCCAGAGAGGAGACCGGCGGAUGGGUGAGUAACGCGUAGGCAAUCUGCCUACAGGACGGGGAUAACGCGCCGAAAGGCGCGCUAAUACCCGAUGAUGCAGCGGCCCCGCAUGGGGACAGUUGUUAAGGGCCUUCGGGCCGCCUGUAGAGGAGCCUGCGUGCCAUUAGCUAGUUGGGGGGGUAACGGCCUCCCAAGGCGAUGAUGGCUAGGGGGGUCUGAGAGGACCGACCCCCCCACACCUGGACUGAGACACGGCCCCAGACCUCCUACGGGAGGGCAGCAGUGAGGAAUCUUGCGCAAUGGGGGCACACCCUGACGCAGCCACGCCGCGUGCUGGAAGACGGCCCCUAUGGGUUGUAAACAGCUUUUGGGCGGGAAGAACCCGGGAUGUUCGCAUUCCGCUGACCGGUACCGCCCGAAUAAGCACCGGCUAACUCCGUGCCAGCAGCCGCGGUAAUACGGAGGGUGCAAGCGUUGUCCGGAAUCAUUGGGUGUAAAGGGUGCGCAGGCUGGCGCCUAAGUCGGAGGUGAAAUCUUGCCGCUUAACGGUAAAAUUGCCCCCGAUACUGGGUGUCUUGAAUCUGACAGAGGUCGGGUGGAAUUCGUGGUGUAGCGGUGAAAUGCAUAGAUAUCACGAAGAACAUCAGUGGCGAAGGCGGCCGGCUGGGUCAGUAUUGACGCUGAGGCACGAGAGCGUGGGGAGCGAACAGGAUUAGAUACCCCGGUAGUCCACGCCGUAAACGAUGGGUCACUAGCUGUCCGUCCCCGCAUUGGCGGGAUGGGUGGCCCAGCGAAAGUGAUACAGUGUCCCACCCUGGGGAAGUACGUUCCGAAC
rnacentral:rRNA from 1 species